UAAAUACUCUCUCCAUUCUAAAUUACUCGUCGCAGAAAUGGAUGUAUCUAAAACUAAAAUAUAUCUAGAUACAUCCAUUUCUGCGACAAGUAAUUCGGAACGGAGGAAGUAUUUG
rfam:Triticum urartu cultivar G1812 contig138103, whole genome shotgun sequence.